rfam:Medicago truncatula strain A17 unplaced genomic scaffold scaffold0152, whole genome shotgun sequence.
CACCGCCCAUCGCUCCUACCGAUUGAAUGGUCCGGUGAAGUGUUCGGAUUGCGGCGACGUGGGCGGUCCGCUGCCUGCGACGUUGUGAGAAGUCCACUGAACCUUAUCAUUUAGAGAAAGGAGAAAUCGUAACAAGGUUUUCGUAGGUGAACCUGUAGAAG